GUGCUCACUUUGGCAACACAUACAUGAAAAUUUGAAUGAUACAGAGAAGAUUAGUAUGGCCCCUGUGCAAGGAUGACAUGCAAAGUCGUGAAGUGUUCCAAAGGAAA